rnacentral:other from 1 species
UUUGCAUUAACCCAGGUUUCAUGUUACAUUUAUAGAGGAUUAUUUUUGUUCGGAUAAGAGUAAGACUUGUAAGAGAUUUUAUCUCCACGAUUUGAGCAAGGAUAGUAACACAAUGUGUACUUAGUACACGAGGAGGAAACACACAUGGAACAAGGUAAAGUAAAAUGGUUUAACUCAGAAAAAGGUUUUGGAUUCAUCGAACGUGACGGCGGAGACGAUGUAUUCGUACAUUUCAGCGCUAUCCAAAGCGAAGGUUUCAAAUCUCUUGACGAAGGUCAAGAAGUUACUUUUGAAAUCGAGCAAGGACAACGUGGCCUACAAGCUACUAACGUAAACAAAGCUUAAUUUUAAGAAUAACCUAUAAACAGAUUCUCUUCGGAGAAUCUGUUUUUU